rnacentral:rRNA from 1 species
UACGUAGGGGGCUAGCGUUGUCCGGAUUUAUUGGGCGUAAAGAGCGUGUAGGCGGCCAGGUAGGUCUGCUGUGAAAACUCGAGGCUCAACCUCGAGACGUCGGCGGAAACCAUCUGGCUAGAGUCCGGAAGAGGCGAGUGGAAUUCCUGGUGUAGCGGUGAAAUGCGCGGAUAUCAGGAGGAACACCAAUGGCGAAGGCAGCUCGCUGGGACGUGACUGACGCUGAGACGCGAAAGCGUGGGGAGCAAACAGG